rnacentral:rRNA from 1 species
AACCAUGUGAAUCACAUACUUGGCGCUUUCUGCUCCAUGAAUUUUAAAUAGCCGCAGUACCUUGACUGUGCAAAGGUAGCGUAAUCAAUUGACUUAUAAUUGAAGUCUAGUAUGAAGGAAUAAAUGGGUGAGUACUGUCUCCGACGAGGUUUUAGAACUUACUUAAUAAGUGAAAAUACUUAUAAAUAGACAAAAGACGAGAAGACCCUAGAAAUUUUUUAGAAUUUGUAUCAGUGUACAUACUUAUUUUACUGGGGCGGUAAAGUAACAAUAUAACUUGCUUGNGGAAAUUAGAAGUUUUUCUACAGUAAAACUAUAAUUACUCUAGGGAUAACAGCAUAAUGUAAAAAAGUUUGUGACCUCGAUGUUGGAUUAGGGCUUGCAAUGUUCAGAAGAUGUUGUUGUGUGUUCUGUUCGAACAGGGUUCCCUACAUG